UGGAUUAGGAUGCGGCAGAACUCAAAGCCUU
rnacentral:piRNA from 1 species